rnacentral:rRNA from 1 species
AGGGAAUCUUCCACAAUGGACGCAAGUCUGAUGGAGCAACGCCGCGUGAGUGAAGAAGGUCUUCGGAUCGUAAAGCCCUGUUGUUGGUGAAGAAGGAUAGAGGCAGUAACUGGUCUUUAUUUGACGGUAAUCAACCAGAAAGUCACGGCUAACUACGUGCCAGCAGCCGCGGUAAUACGUAGGUGGCAAGCGUUGUCCGGAUUUAUUGGGCGUAAAGCGAGCGCAGGCGGAAUGAUAAGUCUGAUGUGAAAGCCCACGGCUCAACCGUGGAACUGCAUCGGAAACUGUCAUUCUUGAGUGCAGAAGAGGAGAGUGGGACUCCAUGUGUAGCGGUGGAAUGCGUAGAUAUAUGGAAGAACACCAGUGGCGAAGGCGGCUCUCUGGUCUGCAACUGACGCUGAGGCUCGAAAGCAUGGGUAGCGAACAGGAUUAGAUACC